CCUACGGGUGGCAGCAGUGAGGAAUAUUCGUCAAUGGGGGAAACCCUGAAGCAGCAACGCCGCGUGGAUGAUGAAGGUCUUCGGAUUGUAAACCCCUUUUGUUAGAGAAGAUAAUGACGGUAUCUAACGAAUAAGCACUGGCAAACUCCGUGCCAGCAGCCGCGGUAAUACGAAGGAUGCGAGGUUUAUCCGGUUUGAUUGGGUUAAAGGGGUGCGUAGGCGGAUGGUUAUAUCAGUGGGAAAAGCCUGGGGCUCAACCCAGGCGUGCCGUUGAAACUGGCUGUCUUGAGAUGUCGAGAGGUAUGCGGAAGGCGCAGUGUAGCGGUGAAAUGCGUAGAUAUAGCGAAGAACUCCGAUUGCGAAGGCAGCAUACUGGCGGGGAUCUGACGCUGAGGUACGAAAGCGUGGGUAGCGAACAGGAUUAGAUACCCUGGUAGUC
rnacentral:rRNA from 1 species